rnacentral:lncRNA from 1 species
AUUUUCCCUUUCAGAAGACAUAUGAGAAAGACAAGAUACACUUUAACUGUUACAUCUGAGAGAUAGGUGUCAUUGUCAUUCAGUGGACAGAGAUGGUGAUUAAACUUGGCUUAAGCUAAUUCUCAGCUCUGAACUGAAGCGACUAGAAGACUGAAUGGUUUGAGGAGGAAUUCUUCUACUGCAGUGGUAUAUCUGCUAGAGGCUGAGCCAGAAGUACAGGAACUCAAAGUGUUGCUACGUAGUAACUAGAGACCUAAAAUGCCAUCAUGUGGAAACGAUCCAUUUGCUUUAGGUUCAACAGUGAAGAUGGGGGAAUGUUGACUGAGAAGCCAAAGAAACCCACCUUCCAGAGCCUUUCUUUGGUUUUGACAAGUAAACAAUGUACCUUCUUGCAAUUAUCACCGUUCAUUUUUAACUCUGAAAAGUGACCUCGAGGAGGUUGGUGUCUUCACAGCCACAGCUCAGAAUUAAUCAGGCUGCUUGACUCAAAUCUCAGCUUCACCACUUGCUCACUGUAGAACUUGGCCAAGGUUCUCACCUUCUCUGCACCAUGGUUUGCUGGACAAUUGAAUCAGGACAUGGAUGAUUAUGAUAAAAUCUAAAUGUUAUCAUCAGCAACCAGCACAGAGAAAACACUCAGUAAAAAUUAGCUCAUAAUAUCUGCUCUAGUAGGAGGGGCUUGUGAUGUUUUUCUAAUAAAGAAAUAUUCUUUUAAUGUGAUAAUGAAAUAUUCCACAGUAUGGAAUUAUUAGCUCAUUUCCAUCUACUCUAAGGACAAAUGUAGGUGAUAUCUCACAGAGUGAAAAGGAAAAAAUGCAGGAGAGGGAAGAAAGGGGAAGUAAAGAGAAAGAAGAAAAAGAAGAAAGCAAGAAAGCAAAAAUUAUUGACUGGUUUGUAUUGGAAAAAUAAAUUGAAAUAACAUCAUAGUUUGGAAGGAUGAAGCAAAAAUAGUCAAGAAUGGCAACAUAACUUGAGGGGCAAGUGUGAAAUGAAAAUACGGCAACUUCUUGUCCAAAAAUUAUUACAAAUUUCAAGAAGAUGAGAGCCGUCUAAUAACCAACAUGGGUUCUUUGGAUCACAGAGCCCCAUGUAACUUGUCCCACCAUGAAGCCAGCCUUCUGUAUAGUGUCUUUAUUUUGUCUUAAAUUAAUUCAUUCCUCAAGAGCUCUCACACGCAGCUUAGGGAGGUCAGACGUGAACUUUUGUG